AAAUUCUUUGGCAUGUAAUUUCAGAAAUCGCAUAGUUUCUCAUAUUUAUUUUCAAUUUAUCAAAAUUUGAUCUGUGCAUUAGUUGAUAUACUUAUAAUCUUGAAUAUUUAUCAUACAACGCGUCAUUUAUUAGACUGUCAUUUCACACGUUCGUAUACUUAUUAUAAAUCGACGGAGGCUUGGCAGCACAGACCAAUGGCGAGGCGUUACCUACUUCGUACGACUCUAAACCGGUUAUUAUAAAAACCUCUACAUAGCGGGAGCAGAACGUGAUGGAAUCAGCAAAUCACGUAGGAUGCUGUGUGAAUAUCAAGAAUCCUGUGAACACCAUUGGGAACUCAGCGAUUAUAUAUACAUAUAUUCGCUAAUCUGAAAUUAUUGGUCUCGCAGUAUUCUGUUUAAUACUUGUGUAUAUGUAGAUUAUUACAUAAUCUACAUUUCAUUUAUGUCACUUAUGUUUUAUAAUACUUUUUAUCAACUUAAUCCACUUUUAUAAGGAAUGAAAAAUCGAUCCGUCUGUAUUAUAUGUAUAUAAUAAUUAAUAUUUAAUUAUUAUUAUAUUGAUAAUAAUUAAUAUCAAAUAAUAAUUUAGAAAGUUUGUCAAAAAUUAUGAUUACUAAAUAUCUGUCUGUUCUUGUCUUUGCACCCAUGCGAGUUCUCGAGGGGGUGCAACAACACCAGGCCUGUCACCAUUAUCAAAUCUGGACUAAACGGCGAAGGUGAUUUUUCAUCGACGCCGAAUUACAUCGACACCGGUGAGAUUCGUGGGGAAAGGGAAGAAUUUCCUGGAAGCGUGUCUCUUCACGGUGGCUGGACACGCACUUCGCAAUUCUCUUUGCGUUCCUCCCGCCAUCACCCACGCCACGACUCAUCUUCUCCCCUCGAGUUCGUACUGGCCGCCACACUUUUGCGGGCUGCUUCUCUGGUGUACUUAGUACGUGCUCGUAACGAGACCACGAAGAAUCGCACUCGUAGUGCGACGCGGUGCGACGCGGUUACGCCACCCUUGCAAGGGAGAAUACGCAUCGUCUAUACCCUUUCACGCGUGACUCGAGUACACGUGAAGUUGAGUACGAGUAAAUUCUCGAGAAGAAACUUCAGUUCCUCUUGGUGGAUUUUUUUUUCGGGAAACGCAGGAUUUCUUCAGGAUUCCUUUGGGAAUCCGACACUGCUUUGGCGAACAGCGCUGACGCGGAAGGUAAAAUAUUUUUUACGAGUCUGACUUUGUAUAAUAUUUUCAGCGAUACUGUCGGUCUCCUAAUGAUUUAUAUUUCCUACAUAUAUCUUUAAUUUUGCAAUUAAUAUAACAUUACGAUUGCACAUAGAAUUGAUUGAAACUGAGCUUUCUAGCAAGAGAGAAAAAAGUAAUGGUCUCUGUAGAAGCAUAUUAAUUUUUCAUAUCGUUGUCGAUACUGAUCAGGAUGAUGUCAUGUCACAUUUGUCAUGCGUUCAACAAUCGCUUGAUCUUCGCGAAGAUUCACAACCUUCCUCACGUAAUUGCAUAAUGACGCGAGAUUAGCAUUCGUACGGCAAAGAAUGAGCUGAGGUCACUGACGGCUAAAUAUCGAGGAAGUCGGGAAUCACUUUCACUUAAAUUACACCUGCUCCAACGGUCUGAUCGAAAGCCGGCAUUACGAUGGUAACAAUGGAGAGGCAGUUAACUGUGUAUCAAACGCAUAAUGAUCAUCUCGCAGCAUUGUAAAGUAUAGCACUUUAAUAAGCACGUGCUGCUUACAAUUAUAAAUUUGUUAUGUACAAGAUAUGUAAUUGUAUCAAAAUUAAAUCUAAUUUAAUUCUUAUUACACAUUACAAAAUCUUUUAGCACUUAGAUAUUUCGAUAAAACGUUCAAGCUACCACAUUUUUGGUAUAAUUUUGCAUAACUAUUUUUUAAGGAUUUUGUGUCCCACGGAUUUACGAAAAAGAAUAUACCUCGCUUGCUUUGAAAA
rnacentral:lncRNA from 1 species